GGUGGCCGCCGAGAGCCGCCGCUACCAUCGCGACAAAGACCCGGGUAGCUCCCGCUGCGCCCAGAGCCAUCAUCUCAGAAGGACUCAAGAGGGAGAAAGAAAGAGAAAAUGACCGUCACUUUGCAAGCCUGGGUCCCCACGAAACCGUGCCGGUUCGGCUGCAGAGUCAGGGUCCGGGAGCCCCCUGCGGUCCCAGAGUCCUGACUGCAGGGAGCACAGAGCUCUGCGCCGCCACCGCCACCGCGGCUGCCUUUAUACCGCGGGCCCGGAGCAUUCCGGCCCCUUGGGAGGGAGACAACAAAGCCGGGAUGGGAUUUCAAAGCGCUGGGAGGGGCUGGGAGGGGGUGUGUUUGUGUACAUGAAGGGGGGCCUUUGACACUCUUCACCCCGCCCCUCCCUUGCUUAGUCGCUCGGCUGGCCCGGCUCACCUUCGGGGUGAAGGCUACCAGCGAGCGUUAUAGCAGACGACUUUAAUAAAUGCAGGCGGCAGCAGGAACUCUGGGAACUUGGGUGCCCUUGCCUGGCAGUAAGGGUUGAAUUAUCCGGAUCUGAAAUACUUUACAGAGCCGAGGGGUGAUAGGCUCUGCAAAAGCACUUUUUGCCCCUCUCCUUUAUGCCAAUACUCGCUGACUGUGCACACAAGUCAUAUUCAGUAUUAAAUACAAACCGGUCUGUAAUUCAAUGGCUCUAGCAAGACGCCUCUGAGAGGGCCAGGUGGCGGGUGCAAGUUGCUCAUUAACCCUUUAGAGUCGCAGUUUGCAGAUCUGAGUUAGAUCCCCGGCUUUGAGGUCCUUCAGUUGCCCUCCUCCCCCACCUCCCCCCGCCACUGCGAGAAAAAUGUGCAAAGAGAAGGAAAUUUGCACAUCAAACGAGGGGCAAUCGCGGCGGUAGAUGAACUUGAUUAGGCAGACGCGUGAGAUCAAAGUGGCCGGGACCAAAGCGGACAGGGUCCAACGUGCCAGCACUGCCAAGAGAAGGCCUUUUGUACUCAGGUUAAAUAAGAACAUCCUGCAAGGAGUCUGUUCUUUUAUGCAGCCUAAAGAUCAAGUAAUAAUCAUUGACACUGAUACUGAGCAUGUCGAUUUUGAAGAGACUAGCAUUUCCUGGUAAUGAAGUGGAGUAUAUAUCCAUAUAUUUCUGUUUUCUGGAUGAGAAGACUAACCUAACUAAGUAGGAACCUUGAAGAAUCAUGUUCUUCCUAGGAAUUACAAAUCCCCCGAUUCCAUGUCUAACAUAAUUUCUACUGGCCUCUUUGCUUCUCAUGCUUUAGUACCAGUGCUUCUGAAUUUGAAAGUCUUCAUGCAAAUUGCCCAGGUUUGCUGGCAGCUGUGUCUCAGAAAAAGCUGUCUUCAGCAAGGCAGAAGCAGAGGAUCUUCUAGAAGAUUUGCACUAUCAGCUUGGUAUUCAGUUCUCUAGCUUGAAAUGAUUUCAGUGCCUAACUGAAAAUACUCAUAUUGUCAAAGGCACACUAUGGACUUUCAAGUCACAGGUGAUAUUACUACAGUAUCUCCAACCAGUGUUAAGGGAAGCAUAAUACCAAUUCAGUGAGGCAUAUGGCUCUAAAACCUUCUCAUCUAAUAUUUAAGUAAAUAACAUCUUUCUACCUGUUCAAGUCAGAAAUUCCAACUGCAAUACAAAUAGACAAAUAUAAAAAUAGUACUGGGUCAAUGUACUUUUAAGGAAGGGGAUUUCUCCUGACCCCUGAUGGCAACGGUAACUGUUUACUGCACUGUACACAGUCUCAGGGAGUUCCUCACAUACUGUACUGGUGUCUGAUAUCAGGAACUCCUCUAUGUUCAGCAGAGAGGUGGAAAUCAAUCUGCAUUCUCAAUUAGGGUUUAUAGCCACACCGUCUUGAAAUGCAGUUAGUCAUAAGAGUACAUUUUUUUCUAAUUCUUGUGACACUAUGUCAGUUUUAAAAUUUAUAUUUCAAAUAAAUGCAAAGUAGAGUACGUUUUCAUAUUGUUUACACCACAUUCAUGCAAUGUAUUUAAUGUAUGAACUUGUACAAAGUGUCAUCAUCAUCUUCAUGAAUAUAUAGAUGUAUGUAUAUGUGUAUACAUAUGUAUACAGACAGUGUGUGUGAAAUAAACUAUAUAAAAUAUUCAAACUGUUAGGACUAGAAAUAGGUACUUGCAACUACAGAAUCACAGAAUUGCUACUACAACACCAUUUACUUCAUAUAUAUCUCUUCGAUUUCCCUUUAUAUGUAUUU
ensembl:lncRNA PRKG1-AS1 PRKG1 antisense RNA 1